UACGUAGGGGGCAAGCGUUGUCCGGAAUCAUUGGGCGUAAAGCGCGCGUAGGCGGCCCGGUAAGUCCGCUGUAAAAGUCCAGGGCUCAACCCUGGAAAGCCGGUGGAUACUGUCGGGCUAGAGUACGGAAGAGGCGAGUGGAAUUCCUGGUGUAGCGGUGAAAUGCGCAGAUAUCAGGAGGAACACCAAUUGCGAAGGCAGCUCGCUGGGACGUUACUGACGCUGAGACGCGAAAGCGUGGGGAGCAAACAGG
rnacentral:rRNA from 1 species